AUGUUGUCCCCAUCCCGGCUCCUUGGAAUACUGCUGCUCUGGGCCUCAGGUUCCACUGGAGAGAAGGUGCUGACUCAGUCUCCAGACUCCCUGUCCGUGUCUCUCGGAAACAAAUGCACCAUCACCUGUAAAUGUAGUGAGACUCUGACACACAGUGACGGCAUCAGCUACUUAAACUGGUACCAGCAGAAACCUGGACAACCCCCCAAGCUGCUUAUCUACAAAGCCUCCACCCUGCAGACCGGAGUCCCUGCCCGGUUCAGCGGCAGUGGGGCUGGGACGGAUUUCAUUCUGACCAUCAGCGGUGUGGAAGCUGAUGAUGUUGCGGACUAUUUCUGCAAAUCAUCUGAGAACCAUCCACUACAUAACAGUGGAUUUUUAAGCCUGGAUCUGUACAGGACAAAACUCGUCUCUACAGCCAACUUCUCCAAGCAUAUAAAUGGUCAAACAAGCCCAGAUCCCAGCGUUUUUCCACGAACCUGCAACAAGCACACAAACUUCUGUGUCUGCGGAGCCAAGGGCACUUUAUCCCCACCCUCUGAGCUGAGGCCCUGA